rnacentral:rRNA from 1 species
UAGGGAAUCUUCCGCAAUGGGCGAAAGCCUGACGGAGCAACGCCGCGUGAGUGAUGAAGGUCUUCGGAUCGUAAAACUCUGUUAUUAGGGAAGAACAAAUGUGUAAGUAACUAUGCACGUCUUGACGGUACCUAAUCAGAAAGCCACGGCUAACUACGUGCCAGCAGCCGCGGUAAUACGUAGGUGGCAAGCGUUAUCCGGAAUUAUUGGGCGUAAAGCGCGCGUAGGCGGUUUUUUAAGUCUGAUGUGAAAGCCCACGGCUCAACCGUGGAGGGUCAUUGGAAACUGGAAAACUUGAGUGCAGAAGAGGAAAGUGGAAUUCCAUGUGUAGCGGUGAAAUGCGCAGAGAUAUGGAGGAAAACCAGUGGCGAAGGCGACUUUCUGGUCUGUAACUGACGCUGAUGUGCGAAAGCGGGGGGAUCAAACAGG